rnacentral:rRNA from 1 species
GACGAACGCUGGCGGCGUGCCUAAUACAUGCAAGUUGAGCGCUGAAGGUUGGUACUUGUACCAACUGGAUGAGCAGCGAACGGGUGAGUAACGCGUGGGGAAUCUGCCUUUGAGCGGGGGACAACAUUUGGAAACGAAUGCUAAUACCGCAUAAAAACUUUAAACACAAGUUUUAAGUUUGAAAGAUGCAAUUGCAUCACUCAAAGAUGAUCCCGGGUUGUAUUAGUUAGUUGGUGAGGUAAAGGCUCACUAAGGCGAUGAUACAUAGCCGACCUUACAGGGGGAUCGGCCACAUUGGGACUGGAACACGGCCCAAACUCCUACGGGAGGCAGCAGUAGGGAAUCUUCGGCAAUGGACGAAAGUCUGACCGAGCAACGCCGCGUGAGUGAAGAAGGUUUUCGGAUCGUAAAACUCUGUUGGUAGAGAAGAACGUUGGUGAGAGUGGAAAGCUCAUCAAGUGACGGUAACUACCCAGAAAGGGACGGCUAACUACGUGCCAGCAGCCGCCGUAA